UCAUCGCCACUCUCCUCGAACCCUCUCGACCCCCUCGGCUCUGCGCGCCCCCCGACCGUCUCCCCCGUCAGUGCUUUGGGUAGAAGGAGCAGAUCGUUGGCGGCGUUCUACCAUUUUUGUUUUAGGGCAUCCUUGAGGUCGUCCAUCUGCGAGACGAUGGCUUCCUUGAGGUCACCGACGCUGGAGACCGCCCCCGCCGUGGGAGCGCGCGGGGACACGGCGGGGAGGGAGAGGGAGGCGGUGGAGCACGGGCUGCCGAUAAGCGACGAGCGCACGAUGGCCUUGGCCUUAGCCCUGGGCUUCACCUUGGGCUUCUAGGAAUGGGAGGGGGGGGGGGGACCAACAUUGCUGAUUCCCCUUGGGUGUACCAUUGCCGUCGCCGAUGCCUUCUGCCGGUUGCCUGACGCUCCACGGCGAUGACUAGCAGAGAAGCCACACCGCCGCGCGCAGGCCUGCAGAAGACCAGGAGCGGCGACGCUUGAGGUGGCGUAAUCGACAGGCAGAGGAGGCCCGACGGCGCGUGAACCUGCUAGAGAGUAGGGGCUGUUGGCGCUUCCGUCGGCCUCGUCCAGAAGCAGAGGGGGUCCUGCCGCACCAGCGGGCCUGCAGGAGCAGAAACGUCUUCCCUCUACGCUGGCAAGGCUCUGCUGCAAGCGAAGCGAGCCCAGCGGUAUUCUUCUAUGAAUGCCUUCAAUGAGUUACUUGUUGAUUUCAUGGGUUACCACCCUCACCAUGCAGUGGAGCAACGAGAAAAUGGAUAGAGUCCUCCAUUGUGUCUCUCGACAUGCUCUGGUCACACCAUAUUAAUGCCGCUCUUCUUACAGGAAUUCAAACUUAUAGCGCUGACUUCUUUUGGUAUAAAAGACUAAACAAAUCAGCUUGACAGUGUUAUGCAACAUAACUUUGCAGAGCCAUGGUAUCUGCUAGCUAUGAACUAUGAAGAUGAGAUUCACUUUUGACUUUUAACUCCCCUCAAGUUGUGGCAUCUCUUGGCAUCAUGUCUGAUCCCUAUUCAAUUACGAGAUAGCGGCAAGGUGGUGAGGUAGUUCGGGAAGACUGAGGAUUGAGAGAGAGAUGGCCAGCAACCGCCGUGCAGAGAUACACAAUGCAGCCGCAGCAGCAGCUGCCCCAGCCUCAACUGGAGCACCACACUCUUUUCUCUCCAUAUAAACUCCCUCACCGUUCCUCUCCCUGUUUUAUACACCAUAAUUUCUUCUUAUAUCCCUGUGUGUGAGUUGGCAGCUUGAAGAAGGGAUGGAAGAGAAUGAAAAAUUGCCGCUUCCAUAGAGGAUAAGGGAAGAGGAAGAAUGAGAGACGAAGAAAAAUAGAAGAAAUCAAGCUGGGCCCAAACAAUUUUUUGCCCAAUCUGUCUGACCUACAGAUGAAUACCACGUCAUAAAGAGAACGUGGUAUUGUUUUGGAGGCCAAGGGAAGAUAUUUUAAUGCAUGACAUGCUGUUCUCAAGUGGGGCAAAGAUGUUAAACAAUUCAUAUCAAAGUAUGAAGAGCCUGAAGUAUAUCUUUUAAGUGCAGUGUGCAGUACAACUGUACAAGCCUGGAGUAUAGCAUUUUUGUUUGAAGUCGAACAGCUCUGAAAUUUUACCUAGUACCAAACAGACAUGGCAGUAGUAUACGCCUAGGAGAAGGCUAGUACUAGCAAACAGGCACCGCACAAAGCAUUUUCGUGCUGGUGCAUGCUGGGUAAGGAUGGAAGCGAUGAAGGGAGACUUGUUUUAUUAGUCUACUAAGCAGGUUGGGCCGUUUCUGGAAGAUCCAGGCAGAGAGAUUGUGCAGCUGGUCUUCAGAAAGCCCAACUAAUUUGGGCCGCAUCUGAUCGACGAAUUGU